GCACUAAUGCACCGGAUCCCAUCAGAACUCCGCAGUUAAGCGUGCUUGGGCGAGAGUAGUACUAGGAUGGGUGACCUCCCGGGAAGUCCUCGUGUUGCAUCCC
rnacentral:rRNA from 1 species